UACGUAGGACACAAGCGUUAUCCGGAGUUACUGGGCGUAAAGGGCGUGUAGGCGGCCCGGUAAGUCCGCUGUGAAAGUCCAGGGCUCAACCCUGGAAUGCCGGUGGAAACUGUCGGGCUGGAGUCCGGAAGAGGCGAGUGGAAUUCCUGGUGUAGCGGUGAAAUGCGCAGAUAUCAGGAGGAACACCAAUGGCGAAGGCAGCUCGCUGGGACGGUACUGACGCUGAGACGCGAAAGCGUGGGGAGCAAACAGG
rnacentral:rRNA from 1 species